rnacentral:tRNA from 1 species
GGCCCCGAUGUUAGUGGUAUAAUUCUCGCUAGGGUUCCUAGGGCAAUUUGCGAGAGGGCCGGUUCAAUUCCCGUUGGGCCC